ACUGUAAAAGCAGCAGAAAUACUUAAGACACCAACACUUUCAAAGUGACCAUUUGUGAGCUUAAUAGAAACCUCUGUCCUCUUGAUUCAGAUUUGCUUCCUCUUAAGUAUUUUAAACAAUAUUUUUGUGCCUACUGUCUAUGCAACAGGGUUUGUCCUGGGGAUGUACAGAGAUGACCAAGACCUGACCCUGUUCAUGGGGAAGGAUAUGAGGAUAAUAUGUCCACAGAUGCUUAUAACACAUUGAAGAGCUCAGCCAUGGAUGUGGCACCAGGAGAUAUCUCCUAUGGAAACAGCAGAGAAAACACAAACUCUGAAGGUGUAUCACCAAAAACGAUGAAUUUCAACAAGAAGGCACAUCUGAAUGGACCAAAAGCAUGAGAGGAAAGGAGGCCACAAGUAAGAAGUGAAAGAAUACAAUUUGUCCAGGAGAGGAGAAGUAGCCUUGAACGUCACGCUCAAUCAUGACUCUGGACUGCAUCCUUCAGCUGCUGCUCCCAGAGACUUCAUUCAUAACUUCAUUUUGUGACUGUCAACCUGUGGAAAGGACUUGGGUCAGAGAAUUAAAUAAGAAUCUACCACAUGGUUCACCUGGCUUAUAACCAAGCCCCAAGAAUUCUUAAGAGCUCAUGCUGGGAGGUGGGAGGAAAAGCCAAGAGAGGCCCACAAGUCUUAAGACACUGCAGAUCACACCCUGAGGUGACCACGAAGGCUACAGUGUUCCCCAGGUAUCCCCCAAAGAGCCAGCAGCUCUUCUUCCGGCCUCCCAUUGAAAACAUUAUUUCUACUGCUACCUCCCACCCAAGAACCUUAGCUUCUUGAAGACUGUCUCUAUUAGUCUCUUUGCUUUCAGUGUCCUUGCUCAGACAUUUCAGAAAGCCCUGCUGACAUGCUUUCUGCAGAAACAAUGUCCUGAAAAGAUGAAUAAAAUACAGUGCCAGACUUGUGAAUACACAAUGUUCAAUUGCCACCUUAGUUCGGUAAACACCCACCAUUCUUUUUUUCUUAGGCAAAAAGCUACAGAUCCAAGGUACAGAA